GUAGGUGAACCUGCGGAAGGAUCAUUAGUGAAUUUUGGGCACUCUUAUUAGAGGCCUAACCUCCACAAUCCCAAACACUGUGCACUUAUUGGCGAGUUUCGUAAUGAGGGGUAACCCUUUGGAAACUUGCGGCUUCAUUUUUUAACACUAGUCAAAGAAUGUAAAUAAAUUAUAACAAAAAAAAACUUUCAACAACGGAUCUCUUGGCUCUCGCAUCGAUGAAGAACGCAGCAUCUGACUGACUGAACUG
rnacentral:misc_RNA from 1 species